GGCUCUGUAGCUCAGUUGGUUAGAGCGCUGCACCGGCAUCGCAGGGCCGUAGGUUCAAUUCCUACCAGAGGACCU
rnacentral:tRNA from 1 species